rnacentral:rRNA from 1 species
CAGUCGCCGCGGGAAUACGAAGGGGGCUAGCGUUGUUCGGAUUUACUGGGCGUAAAGCGCACGUAGGCGGACUUUUAAGUCAGGGGUGAAAUCCCGGGGCUCAACCCCGGAACUGCCUUUGAUACUGGAAGUCUUGAGUAUGGUAGAGGUGAGUGGAAUUCCGAGUGUAGAGGUGAAAUUCGUAGAUAUUCGGAGGAACACCAGUGGCGAAGGCGGCUCACUGGACCAUUACUGACGCUGAGGUGCGAAAGCGUGGGGGGCGAACAGGAUUAGAUACCCCCGUAGUCCCUGUCUCUUAUAC